rnacentral:rRNA from 1 species
UACAGAGGGGGCAAGCGUUGUUCGGAAUUACUGGGCGUAAAGGGCGCGUAGGCUGCCUGUUAAGUCGGACGUGAAAUCCCUCGGCUCAACCGGGGAACUGCGUCCGAUACUGGCGGGCUUGAAUUCGGGAGAGGGAUGUGGAAUUCCUGGUGUAGCGGUGAAAUGCGCAGAUAUCAGGAGGAACACCAAUGGCGAAGGCAGCUCGCUGGGACGUGACUGACGCUGAGACGCGAAAGCGUGGGGAGCAAACAGG